GCAAGCCUAACACAUGCAAGUCGAACGGUAACAGGAAGCAGCUUGCUGCUUUGCUGACGAGUGGCGGACGGGUGAGUAAUAUCUGGGAAACUGCCUGAUGGAGGGGGAUAACUACUGGAAACGGUAGCUAAUACCGCAUAACGUCGCAAGACCAAAGAGGGGGACCUUCGGGCCUCUUGCCAUCGGAUGUGCCCAGAUGGGAUUAGCUAGUAGGUGGGGUAACGGCUCACCUAGGCGACGAUCCCUAGCUGGUCUGAGAGGAUGACCAGCCACACUGGAACUGAGACACGGUCCAGACUCCUACGGGAGGCAGCAGUGGGGAAUAUUGCAUAAUGGGCGCAAGCCUGAUGCAGCCAUGCCGCGUGUAUGAAGAAGGCCUUCGGGUUGUAAAGUACUUU
rnacentral:rRNA from 1 species